CAACCGGUUGUAGUGUCUCUCUCGGGACUGGCAUUGAGUGGAGUCACUUAUAGCAAUUGGCGCUUGAAUGUUUCAGGAAACUAAUGAUGCCAAUAGUUGUUUGUAAUCAGUACUUGUAGAGACACUUCACUAACUACUUUCUUUCUCUCACUCAGAAAUCCACCAUUGUUUGUUGAUUCAAUUUAUACUCCAUGUUAUUAGCCCGGAGCAUUGCCAGACCUGAAAUUCUGGGCGUUCUGGGAAGGACAAUUUUGGGUCACUUUUGAGCUCUAAAACAUUGAGCAUGGCCUGAGGGUCUUAGGGUUGAGCUUUAAAGCCAAACGUGGAAACAAACCCAUCAGUUUCAUGCCCAGCCCUUCUCAGUGGCGCCUCUCACGGAAAAUCUGGAACCUACUUGAAGCAUUUAGAUCCAUUGGACAUACCCAACACUGUUACGAAAAAUGGCCGUAGCAUUAUGGUUCGAUACUUUCUUUUCAGCGAUCGAAUUGCGUUCCUUACGACCUUCUUUCAAUGGAUGAUUAAUUCUAGACAUCUGGAGAUAAGAUUGAGAUCAUCAAAGACAUCUCCGCCAAGUUUUGGCUUUGUUCCAAACAAUUCAUGUGGCUUUCUGC